rnacentral:misc_RNA from 1 species
GCCGUUUCUCUCCUAGAAGAGGAGUAUUCCGAAAUGUCAAUUUCAGGGUCCGCGGAAACUUUGGUGGAGGUCGGAGCUACGGGAGAAGUGAAUUUGGAGGACGCGAUUUUUCAGGGCGUGGUAGGGUUCAAGGUGGACGUGGUGGUGAAAGCUAUCAAGUAAGAGGGAGAGGGGGACAGAGAGGUGGCCCUAGUCAAAGUUCUGCUACAACAUAGUUAAUGUGGCUGGAUAAAUUUUGAUCUAGUUUAUUUGUUUGCCAGUGUGCUGGCAGCGGAACGGUAGUUGACAUUGACGUUACUUUGUGUUCUCGUCCCCCCAGUUUACCCAAGUGUUGGGGGACUAUUCACUCACAAUUUUUUGUGUGGGUGACCUUUGU